UUCCUCACUUUGGCAGGGACUAGACUAAAAAUGAUGGAAUGAUGAGUCUAUGAGCAUGGUCCCUGUGCUAGGAUAGCACAAACAUGUGUGCAAUGUUCACAGCUUUU
rnacentral:snRNA from 1 species